GAUGAACGCUGGCGGCGUGCCUAAUACAUGCAAGUCGAGCGAACAGAUGAGGAGCUUGCUCCUCUGACGUUAGCGGCGGACGGGUGAGUAACACGUGGAUAACCUACCUAUAAGACUGGGAUAACUUCGGGAAACCGGAGCUAAUACCGGGUAAUAUAUUGAACCGCAUGGUUCAAUAGUGAAAGACGGUUUUGCUGUCACUUAUAGAUGGAUCCGCGCCGCAUUAGCUAGUUGGUAAGGUAGCGGCUUACCAAGGCAACGAUGCGUAGCCGACCUGAGAGGGUGAUCGGCCACACUGGAACUGAGACACGGUCCAGACUCCUACGGGAGGCAGCAGUAGGGAAUCUUCCGCAAUGGGUGAAAGCCUGACGGAGCAACGCCGCGUGAGUGAUGAAGGUCUUCGGAUCGUAAAACUCUGUUAUUAGGGAAGAACAAAUGUGUAAGUAACUAUGCACGUCUUGACGGUACCUAAUCAGAAAGCCACGGCUAACUACGUG
rnacentral:rRNA from 1 species